GGUGAGAUGGCCGAGCGGUCUAAGGCGCCAGACUAAGGAUCAGGGCAUUCUGUGUCCAUCAAGUUGUUCAGCAACAUCUGGUCCUCCGGGGCGUGGGUUCGAAUCCCACUCUCAUCA
rnacentral:tRNA from 1 species